CUAUUACUCCCUCCGUCCAGAAAUACUUGUCAUCAAAAUGAAUAAAAGGGGAUGUAUCUAGCCGUAUUUUAGUUCGUGAUACAUCUCUUUUUAUCCAUUUUGAUGACAAGUAUUUUCGGACGGAGGGAGUACAAU
rfam:Triticum aestivum genome assembly, contig: Triticum_aestivum_CS42_TGACv1_scaffold_129405_2BL